GAUGAACGCUGGCGGCGUGCCUAAUACAUGCCAGUCGAGCGAACAGACGAGGAGCUUGCUCCUCUGACGUUAGCGGCGGACGGGUGAGUAACACGUGGAUAACCUACCUAUAAGACUGGGAUAACUUCGGGAAACCGGAGCUAAUACCGGAUAAUAUAUUGAACCGCAUGGUUCAAUAGUGAAAGACGGUUUUGCUGUCACUUAUAGAUGGAUCCGCGCCGCAUUAGCUAGUUGGUAAGGUAACGGCUUACCAAGGCAACGAUGCGUAGCCGACCUGAGAGGGUGAUCGGCCACCCUGGAACUGAGACACGGUCCAGACUCCUACGGGAGGCAGCAGUAGGGAAUCUUCCGCAAUGGGCGAAAGCCUGACGGAGCAACGCCGCGUGAGUGAUGAAGGUCUUCGGAUCGUAAAACUCUGUUAUUAGGGAAGAACAAAUGUGUAAGUAACUAUGCACGUCUUGACGGUACCUAAUCAGAAAGCCACGGCUAACUACGUG
rnacentral:rRNA from 1 species